rnacentral:tRNA from 1 species
GAUUGGAUCAGUUGGCUAGUGCGUCCCGCUUGCUAGCGGGAAGGUCAUCGGUUCGAAUCCGUUAUCCUCCA